CCUACGGGAGGCAGCAGUGAGGAAUAUUGGUCAAUGGACGAGAGUCUGAACCAGCCAAGUAGCGUGAAGGAUGACUGCCCUAUGUGUUGUAAACUUCUUUUAUAUGGGAAUAAAACAGGGUAUGCAUACCCUCUUGUAUGUACCAUAUGAAUAAGGAUCGGCUAACUCCGUGGCAGCAGCCGCGGUAAUACGGAGGAUCCGAGCGUUAUCCGGAUUUAUUGGGUUUCAAGGGAGCGUAGGUGGAUUGUUAAGGCAGUUGUGAAAGUUUGCGGAUCAACCGUAAAAUUGCAGUUGAAACUGGCAGUCUUGAGUACAGUAGAGGUGGGCGGAAUUCGUGGUGUAGCGGUGAAAUGCUUAGAUAUCACGAAGAACUCCGAUUGCGAAGGCAGCUGACUGGACUGCAACUGACACUGAUGCUCGAAAGUGUGGGUAGCAAACAGGAUUAGAUACCCGUGUAGUC
rnacentral:rRNA from 1 species